rnacentral:rRNA from 1 species
UACGUAGGGUGCGAGCGUUAAUCGGAAUUACUGGGCGUAAAGAGCUCGUAGGCGGUUUGUCACGUCUGCUGUGAAAACUGGAGGCUCAACCUCCAGCCUGCAGUGGGUACGGGCAGACUAGAGUGCGGUAGGGGAGAUUGGAAUUCCUGGUGUAGCGGUGGAAUGCGCAGAUAUCAGGAGGAACACCGAUGGCGAAGGCAGAUCUCUGGGCCGUAACUGACGCUGAGGAGCGAAAGCAUGGGGAGCGAACAGG